CGACGUGGCAUCGCUCCUUGCUCGCCCAGCCCUUCGCUCUUGGAGAGUGUAAUACUACGUAGGAGGACAUAGCUGCAGCAGUCUGAUUAGCAGGAAGAUGGUUGGAGAGUACCAUGGAUAUAACAUCAUUUUGAAAAUUCAAAUUUGGCUAAUCCAUGUGUAUUGAACCUGCUUUUGAAGCUAUCCUGUCUCAUUUUUGUGAAGUGAACAUGCUUUUGCUAGCUGAACUUUACAAAGAGCUUAGCGUCGUCAUCCAUCAUGCACUGGUCUCUCUCUCCACCUCAUCCUUCCUUUGAUCUCUAGGUGGGGCUGUGGUUUGAUUGGAUUUUGUGGGUGGCCUGGUUGGGAGAAGGAAGGUGCAUCUAUUUUUGCUUUUUUCAAUCCUCCCUUUUUGAUUGAGUUGUUGCUAGCUUCCCAGGAAGUUCCUUUUACUUAGUAAGAAAUGUUAGUUUGAAAUAUGUUCAUUGGGAGUUCAGAAAAUGUGGCAAGCAUCCAAGUCACUCCUUUGUACUUGUAUUGUUUCCUUUUACUCAAGUGCCAUACAAGAUACUAAGUAUUUUUCA